AACUUUUAGCAAUGGAUCACUUGGCUCUCGCAUCGAUGAAGAACGCAGCGAAAUGCGAUACGUAAUGUGAAUUGCAGAAUUCAGUGGAUCAUCGAAUCUUUGAACGCACCUUGCGCCCCUUGGAAUUCCGAGGGGCACACCCGUUUGAGUGUCGUGAGUAUCGUUCCACCUUUCUUGGUUUCUUAACCGGGGAAGGCCUGGACUUUGGGGGCCUUUCAUUGCUGGCCUCUUUGAAGCCAGCUCCUCCUAAAUGGAUAAGUGUGGUCUGCUUUGCCGAUCCUUGACGUGUUAAGUUGUUUCUACGUCUUGGGUUUCGCACUGUCGCUUUAGACCCCGCUUCUAACCGUCUUGCAUUCAAGACAGAGUUUUAAGCCUUGACCUCAAAUCGGGUGAGACUACCCGCUGAACUUAAGCAUAUCAAUAAGCGGAGGCU
rnacentral:misc_RNA from 1 species